AGUAACAAAAAACAAAAUCGGGGUAACAAACUAAAACCGAGGGAAACGCAUUAAAUAUAAGAGGAGAACAACGACAUAACACCGAAACGUAACACACACAGAAACGGACCAAGCAUCAGACAAAACACCACGAGAAUAACAAAUAUAACAAGAAAACCAAAUACAUGAAUUUGGGAUAGACAAGUACCGUGCCACGUCUGAUCUCAAUAUCUCAAAAAUAAGAGAAAACACAAACGACUCAACGUUAAAAUGCAACACACACAGAAACGAACAAUAAUAUAACAAUGGCCAUCUUCCUGACUUGGUACAGGACACUUUUAAAGGGGAAUAAAAGUGGUGGGUUGAACCUGGUUUUGUGGCAUGCCAAACCUCGCACUUUAAUGGCAAAGUUAAAUAUAACAUUGAAAUGACAACAUAAUAUUACAGGACUACAAUACAAAUAAAUAGGAGAACAUAUUAGACAAAGAAAAACAUGAUUAAUAGAUAACAAAAAGCAUCAGGUUUAAAAUUCAAUACGCCAAAAACGCGCCUUGUCCACACAGGACUUACAAGUGACGCCCA
rnacentral:lncRNA from 1 species